GUAGGGGGCAAGCGUUAUCCGGAAUUACUGGGUGUAAAGGGAGCGUAGGCGGCACGCCAAGCCAGAUGUGAAAGCCCGAGGCUUAACCUCGCGGAUUGCAUUUGGAACUGGCGAGCUAGAGUACAGGAGAGGAAAGCGGAAUUCCUAGUGUAGCGGUGAAAUGCGUAGAUAUUAGGAAGAACACCAGUGGCGAAGGCGGCUUUCUGGACUGAAACUGACGCUGAGGCUCGAAAGCGUGGGGAGCAAACAGGAUUAGAUACCCUGGUAGUCCACGCCGUAAACGAUGAGUGCUAGGUGUCGGGGAGGAAUCCUCGGUGCCGCAGCUAACGCAAUAAG
rnacentral:rRNA from 1 species